AAUAAGUGCAGUCGUGGAUAUUCGUGUUCAACGUUUGACCGUCCGUCUUAUUUAAAAAUUUAUUAAAAAUUUAAAAAUAUUUAGUCACACAUAAAAUACUAUUCAUGUUUUAUCAUCUAAUAGUAAUAAAAAUAUUAAUCAUAAAAUUUUUUUAAAUAAGACGAACGGUCUAAAACUAUAUUUAUUUUGAGACGGAGGGAGUACCA
rfam:Oryza sativa Japonica Group DNA, chromosome 1, cultivar: Nipponbare, complete sequence.